GACGAACGCUGGCGGCGUGCUUAACACAUGCAAGUCGAACGCUGAAGCUUGGUGCUUGCACUGGGUGGAUGAGUGGCGAACGGGUGAGUAAUAAGUGAGUAACCUGCCCUUGACUCUGGGAUAAGCCUGGGAAACUGGGUUUAAUACUGGAUACGACAUGUCACCGCAUGGUGGUGUGUGGAAAGGGUUUUACUGGUUUUGGAUGGGCUCACGGCCUAUCAGCUUGUUGGUGGGGUAAUGGCUCACCAAGGCGACGACGGGUAGCCGGCCUGAGAGGGUGACCGGCCACACUGGGACUGAGACACGGCCCAGACUCCUACGGGAGGCAGCAGUGGGGAAUAUUGCACAAUGGGCGGAAGCCUGAUGCAGCGACGCCGCGUGAGGGAUGACGGCCUUCGGGUUGUAAACCUCUUUCAGCACGGAAGAAGCGAAAGUGACGGUACGUGCAGAAGAAGCGCCGGCUAACUACGUG
rnacentral:rRNA from 1 species